rnacentral:rRNA from 1 species
UACUUUUAAAUAAGGAAGAGUUUGUGGUGGAUGCCUUGGGUCUGGAAGUCGAUGAAGGACGUGAUUACCUGCGAUAAGCCUCGUAGAGCUGGAAAUAUGCUAUGAAACGGGGAUUUCCGAAUGGGGAAACCUAACUAUGGUAAUGCAUAGUUGCUUAUGUCUGAAUACAUAGGACAUAAAGCGAGAUACCUUGUGAACUGAAACAUCUUAGUAGCAAGAGGAAAAGAAAAUAAAUAAUGAUUUCUUUAGUAGCGGCGAGCGAACGAGAAAGAGCCCAAACCAUUUUAAAUGGGGUCAUAGGACAGACUACAUAGAGUUACAAAAUUUAAUAAUAGCAGAAGCUUUUGGGAAGAAGCGGCACAGAAGGUGAUACCCCUGUAUGCGAAAUUAUUAAAUCUCUUGACUGUAUCCUGAGUAGGGCGGGGCACGUGAAACCCUGUCUGAAUUUGCCGGGACCACCCGGUAAGGCUAAAUACUAACCAGACACCGAUAGCGAACUAGUACCGUGAGGGAAAGGUGAAAAGAACCCCGAGAGGGGAGUGAAAUAGACUCUGAAACCACUUACUUACAAUUAGUCAGAGCCCGUUAAUGGGUGAUGGCGUACAUCUUGCAGUAUGGACCGGCGAGUUACUUUAGCAUGCAAGGUUAAGCAGAUAAAAGCGG